rnacentral:rRNA from 1 species
AUUGAACGCUGGCGGCAUGCUUUACACAUGCAAGUCGAACGGUAACAGGCCGCAAGGUGCUGACGAGUGGCGAACGGGUGAGUAAUGCAUCGGAACGUGCCCAGUCGUGGGGGAUAACGCAGCGAAAGCUGCGCUAAUACCGCAUACGAUCUAUGGAUGAAAGCGGGGGACCGUAAGGCCUCGCGCGAUUGGAGCGGCCGAUGUCAGAUUAGGUAGUUGGUGGGGUAAAGGCUCACCAAGCCAACGAUCUGUACCUGGUCUGAGAGGACGACCAGCCAAACUGGGACUGAGACACGGCCCAGACUCCAACGGGAGGCAGCAGUGGGGAAUUUUGGACAAUGGGCGCAAGCCUGAUCCAGCAAUGCCGCGUGCAGGAAGAAGGCCUUCGGGUUGUAAACUGCUUUUGUACGGAACGAAACGGUCCUGGUUAAUACCUGGGGCUAAUGACGGUACCGUAAGAAUAAGCACCGGCUAACUACGUGCCAGCCGCCGCGGUAACAC